UAUGUAAGGUGUGUAUGUUGUAUAACUGCCCACCUGGCUACAUAUAUUUUCGUCGUCAUCGAAACACGUUUGUGGAUUGCAACAGAGAUGGAUUUCAUUCGAUGUUAAGGCUCUUCCUGUCACCGGAUACUAACAUUAAGAUCGCUCACUUUUCUUGCUUUCUUAACAAAGAUACUGGACCUGCAGCAUUGGACAAGGCAACUUCAGGAACUGAUGCCAAAGCUGCAAUAUCAACAUUAUUGACAAAUGACCAGGUUCUGAAGUCAGAAGUCCUCUGGUCUGCUAAAACUGUA